CAACCCUCAAGCGGACUCCCGCUUGGUGUUGGGGAUCGGCCGUAACUGGCCGCCCCCUAAAUGUAUUGGCGAUCCCGCCGCAGCCUCCUGUGCGUAGUAGUAAAACCCUCGCACGCGGACCGGUUAGCGCGGUGAUCAAGCCGUAAAACGCCCAACUUCUCAA
rnacentral:misc_RNA from 1 species